CAGGCUGAUCUUGCCCAAGAGUCCAUAUCGACGGCAAGGUUUGGCACCUCGAUGUCGGCUCGUCGCAUCCUGGGGCUGGAGUAGGUCCCAAGGGUUGGGCUGUUCGCCCAUUAAAGCGGUACGCGAGCUGGGUUUAGAACGUCGUGAGACAGUUCGGUCCCUAUCCGCCGCGCGCGCAGGAGACUUGAGAAGGGCUGUCCCUAGUACGAGAGGACCGGGACGGACGAACCUCUGGUGUGCCAGUUGUUCUGCCAAGGGCAUGGCUGGUUGGCUACGUUCGGAAGGGAUAACCGCUGAAAGCAUCUAAGCGGGAAGCUCGCUUCAAGAUGAGGUCUCCCACAGGGUAGCCUGGUAAGGCCCCCKACUAGAUGAUCGGGUUGAUAGGCCGGAGGUGGAAGUGCGGUGACGCAUGGAGCUGACCGGUACUAAUAGGCCGAGGGCUUGACUACA
rnacentral:rRNA from 1 species